rnacentral:rRNA from 1 species
UACGUAGGGGGCAAGCGUUGUCCGGAUUUAUUGGGCGUAAAGAGCGUGUAGGCGGCUUUACAGGUCCGCUGUGAAAACUCGAGGCUCAACCUCGAGCUGUCGGUGGAAACCGUAAGGCUAGAGUCCGGAAGAGGAGAGUGGAAUUCCCGGUGUGAGCGGUGAAAUGCGCAGAUAUCGGGAAGAACACCCGUGGCGAAGGCGGCUCUCUGGGACGGUACUGACGCUGAGACGCGAAAAGCGUGGGGAGCGAACAGG